UUAGGAGGGUCAGCGCGUCGAAGCCGUCCGAGCUUCGUUAAAAUCGGGCAAAACAAUAAAUGCUAAUAACAAUACUGAAUUAGCUUUCGCUGCUUAAUUUAAGCGAACGCCGUUACCGGGUUUACCGCCGGUUCGGAUAACGGUGUCAUUACAGGCGGAGUAGUUUUUGCCGUGCGGUGUUUGCGGCAGGAGCGAAACCAUAAAAUACCCGCUUCGGAAUUUGCCUGUUUACCGGCGCGUUCCGACUAAGAUAAAGAUAAACUACACGCGUAGAAACCCUUUGGGGUUUUUGUAAGACUCGGGUGCAAGUCCCGACUGCUCCACCA
rnacentral:tmRNA from 1 species